UACGUAGGGUGCGAGCGUUAAUCGGAAUUACUGGGCGUAAAGCGUGCGUAGGCGGCUAUGUAAGACAGAUGUGAAAUCCCUGGGCUUAACCUAGGAACUGCAUUUGUGACUGCAUUGCUGGAGUGUGGUAGAGGGAGAUGGAAUUCCGCAUGUAGCAGUGAAAUGCGUAGAGAUGUGGAGGAAUACCGAUGGCGAAGGCAGCCUCCUGGGCCAACACUGACGCUCAUGCACGAAAGCGUGGGGAGCAAACAGG
rnacentral:rRNA from 1 species